rnacentral:rRNA from 1 species
UACGGAGGGUGCGAGCGUUGUCCGGAAUCACUGGGCGUAAAGGGCGCGUAGGCGGCUUCUCAAGCGUGUGGUGAAAGUCCGGGGCUCAACCCCGGAUCGGCCGUGCGGACUGGGGAGCUCGAGUUCUGUAGAGGCGGGUGGAAUUCCGGGUGUAGCGGUGGAAUGCGUAGAGAUCCGGAAGAACACCGGUGGCGAAGGCGGCUGGCUGGGCCUGAUCUGACGCUGAGGUGCGAAAGCGUGGGGAGCGAACAGG